UACGGGGGGGGCAAGCGUUGUUCGGAAUUACUGGGCGUAAAGGGCUCGUAGGCGGCCAACUAAGUCAGACGUGAAAUCCCUCGGCUUAACCGGGGAACUGCGUCUGAUACUGGAUGGCUUGAGUUUGGGAGAGGGAUGCGGAAUUCCAGGUGUAGCGGUGAAAUGCGUAGAUAUCUGGAGGAACACCGGUGGCGAAGGCGGCAUCCUGGACUAACACUGACGCUGAGUGAGCGAAAGCCAGGGGAGCAAACGGG
rnacentral:rRNA from 1 species